UAAAUAAAUCCUAAAUAAAUCCUAAUUCAAUCUUAAUUAAUCUUAAUUGAAAUUCUAAUCAAAUUUAAUGAAAUCUUAGAUCAAAAUUUAAUUUAGUCAUCAUGAAAUCCUAAACUUCAAUAAAAUUUUAAUCAAAUCUUAAAUCCUAAUCAAAUCCUAAAACUUAGAUUAAUCUUAAAAUUUUAAUCAAAUCUUAAAUCCUAAUCAAACCCUAAAACUUAGAUUAAUCUUAAUGAAAUCCUACCAAAUCUUAAAUCUCAACCAAAUCCUAA
rnacentral:lncRNA from 1 species